GGGUAAGUCCUGCACGGACAGCUCCCCGAGAAUUCCCCCAGGUCUUGACCGAAGCAAGGGUAUCGGGUUGAGCGUCGCGAUGUAGAUAGCUUACCCUUU
rnacentral:SRP_RNA from 2 species